CGAUUCCAAAUGCGUUGAUGCUCAGGCCGCUCACGAAGCAACUCUGACCGCUAUCGUACCCGCAUUGGCAGGGGCCAAUAUGAUUUACGGUA
rnacentral:ncRNA from 1 species